AUAGCAACCUAUAUUGAUGUCACAAGCUCAGGCUUCUGACUUCAUUGCAUAAUGCGGUAGCAAGUGGAUUUGCAGCAGAAACACCCUGCUAAAGAACAAGUAUCUUGGUUCCCAGCAAAGAGGACAAAGGAGAACAGCAAGUUAUAGGGAGUUGAAUGCUGGAUUGUGUACAAUAUGGUGAUUUAAGUCUAUUCCUUACUCAGUGCUCAUCAUGAGGGCCCAGAGUAACAUCUUAAUAGACCAGGUCGACUCUCCUGCUCUUUGUCAUAAUGUACUAGAGGCACCUUGCUCGUCUUGAUGUCCUGCAGAAAAUUACACCAAUCCAUUGCAUUGAUGACAUUUUGAUAAUCAGAUCUGGUUCUCCCGGUGCUGGGGAAAUGUCACUGUGAGAAGAAUAGAAAACUUAUUCCAAAGAGUAUUGAAGACUGACUGAAUCAGGUCUGGAACAUUAUUGAAACGGAUAAUUAUGCGUUGAAGAAAAAGGCAUUCAAUGAGGAGCAAAUGGCAAAAGCAAAUGUGUUAAGAUUCUAAAAAUGACUACUAUCCUAGUAAAAAAUGACUACAUUUUAUACUAUGUGCUAUACACACACACGUACUCACCUGAUCAGAUGGGCGCUAGGGAGUGUGUCUGAAGGCAGCAGGUUUUGCCAAUUGUUCUUAUCCGGUUUCUUCAGUUGACUGACAAAAAAGUACCAAUAAAUGCGCAGUUAGACAAUGUAACUGAGUCAUCGUCAAUGUUGAAUUUUAAAAUUUGAUCAUCUGAAUAUUGGAAGAAAGAAUCAUUCUAAUGAUUGCAGUUCUUCUGAGCAGUUCUUAACGUAUUUUGUCACAAGGCUCACAUUUCAGAAGAUAGAGAAAAGAAAAAUGAAAUUACCAUUAUGGACUGAAGUCUGAGAAGCUGGUAAAAAAAUGUGAGGGUUUGGAGAAACUUUAACACAAGUUCUUAUACUAAGUCGCUGAGGAGAUCCCGGCGUCAUUGUUGACAACAUGUGAUGACACGUGGAGAAUGAGGGAGGCAUCAAAAGAUGCAAAAAUACCGUGGCAGAGACAUCUAGUUGCUCACCCCAAGAGUCAGUCUCUUUUUCUUCUUUCCCAACAGGACUAAAGUGAACUAAACAGAAGUAACGGAACUGAUUUCAUUUGGGGCAAUGUUUUCAAUGGCUGGUGACAAUAUUCUGGCCAAGGAAAUCCAAGAGCAGAUGUUGAUGCGAGUUCUGGGUUGACCAAGAUCACUGAGCCAGGAAGAGUGGCUCUUUUUCCUCUCUGCUGUUCUGGCAACUGUCAUCCUGUAAUGAAGCCAUCUUGGGUCAUGGCAGAGUCCGAAAGAGGGAGGUUAUGAGCUGAGAACAGUGAAAGGGACAAUGGAGACACGGAUCCUGCAUGGCUCCACGGACUGUCUGCCACUGCCCUGUCUAUCGCUGGAUUCUCUUAUUUCAGAAAAAAAGAAAACACAUCUAUUGGAAUGAGAUUAUGUUAUUGAUGGUGAAUGUGUUAUGCAACUGAACCUAAUCCUAACUGAUAAAAUAUCCAGAGUCUAUAGACGGGCUUCAAGGACUAGACACAAGUGCGUGUAAAUCCCAGGAAAAACCCUUGAAGAGAAUUCUAAGUCACUUUGAAAGCACUUGGGGAAAGAAAUUGUGAUUUAUAGGGGAUAAGACACAUUCAAAAAAAGAAUAAUUAUUGCCAAAUUACCUUCAUUUAUUUGGACCUCGUUAUCAGAUUAGUAGCUUUCAUUUAACAGCAAACACUUGGGGAAGAUUGACUACUUGCCAGGUGCUGUUUGAAGUACUUUACAUGUUGUAUUUUUUUGUAAUCAUCGCACAGGUACUGUGAAAAUCCUCACCCUGCAAACAGUGAAACCAAGGCACUAAGGUUUAUAUAACUGAUCCAAUGAGACACGGUUAUGAAGGGAUGGAGACAAGACAUAGCCCGAAUAGCCUGAGUUCAGAGGUCGCUCUAACUCGUACUCUACAUUGUCCUUUAGAGGAAAGCCGUUGACAACCAGUGGAUUACAAUUUUGCCACUAGACACAAUCUCAUAAUAGUGGCAUGGAGACAUGGGAGAUGAGCACUUGGAUAAAUUCAUGAUGCUCAAGCACUGUCAGCCUUCUGGAAGUCUCCUGACAUAUGUCAAGGUUCUUAAUCCAUUCAUGUUUACAAUUUUAUUAAUGGCUGCAGACACAGAAGAUAUCUUUUAUCAAGUGUGUGAGGACCAAAAUAAGUUUAGCCUGCAAAAAAGAACACCUGUGGAAAUAUGGGAGGUCUCAUUAAAAUAAUUAUUCCAUAAUUUUAGAGCCUUAGCAGUCUCCAACAUCAUCAGUUUAGUGGCCCUUCCCGGAGGCAAGAAGGCAAAGUGAUACAAAACCUAUGGGGACAAUAUUUUGCAAUACUGUAAGAAUUGACAAUAUAUUGAAAAAACAUAUACAUUUACCCUUUAAUCCAGAAAUUCCAUUUCUAGGGCAUUAUUGCAAAGAUACACUAGUGAAAAUGAAAAAAAAAAAA